rnacentral:rRNA from 1 species
GACGAACGCUGGCUGCGUGCUUAACACAUGCAAGUCGAACGGAAAGGCCCUGCUUUUGUGGGGUGCUCGAGUGGCGAACGGGUGCGUAACACGUGAGUAACCUGCCCUUGACUUUGGGAUAACUUCAGGAAACUGGGGCUAAUACCGGAUAGGAGCUCCUGCUGCAUGGUGGGUGUUGGAAAGUUUCGGCGGUUGGGGAUGGACUCGCGGCUUAUCAGCUUGUUGGUGGGGUAGUGGCUUACCAAGGCUUUGACGGGUAGCCGGCCUGAGAGGGUGACCGGCCACAUUGGGACUGAGAUACGGCACAGACUACUACGGGAGGCAGCAGUGGGGAAUAUUGCACAAUGGGCGGAAGCCUGAUGCAGCAACGCCGCGUGCGGGAUGACGGACUUCGGGUUGUAAACCGCUUUCGCCUGUGACGAAGCGUGAGUGAAGGUAAUGGGUAAAGAAGCACCGGCUAACUACGUG